GUGAGAAAAAUGAGGACACAAAAAAGUUGCUAAGUGCUGAUAAGAAGUUAAAACAUUCUGUUGUAGUAGACGUUGGGUGUUCAACAUUCAAAUUCGGUUUAGGUGGUAAAUCGUCAAGUGAAGAGAAGUCAAAAGAUGCGUCAAAAGAGAAGGCGUUAAACCGUACUCAAAGCCGUGCAGGAAAAAUUGUUUCAGCUGCCGCAGAAAAGUCCUGUAUAGGGCCUACUCCGACGAAAGAGGACUAAGAUACAAAUGCUUAAACAUGUUUCCGCAGUCUAUGCGUGUGCAAAUAGUGGAUCCAAUGACAACAAUCCAAUUUGCAGAAAUAUACAGUUAUAAAUACAGCUUCAAAAUAAAUAUAAAUACAAAAAAUUAAAUUGUGAACCCAAACUAUUACUAAACCAAAAACAUGUAUUUCACGAAUUCAUAAUAAACUUCUACUA